UGCCUACAACCGGUCAAAGCCCCUUAUGAGGGUGAUGACGUGCUUUUUGUAGAACGAGCCAACGAGUUACGGUAUGUAGCAAGGUUAAGUACUUAAGGUACGGAGCCGAAGGGAAACCGAGUCUUAAUAGGGCGACUAGUUGCAUGCCGUAGACCCGAAACCGGGUGACCUAUCCAUGGCCAGGUUGAAGCGAGGGUAAAACCUCGUGGAGGACCGAACCACGUUGCUGUUGAAAAAGCAUGGGAUGAGCUGUGGAUAGCGGAGAAAUUCCAAUCGAACUCGGAGAUAGCUGGUUCUCCCCGAAAUAGCUUUAGGGCUAGCGUCGGAUAUGUGUAGUGGAGGUAGAGCACUGAAUGGGCUAGGGGGCAUAUCGCUUACCGAACCUUAUCAAACUCCGAAUGCCAUAUACAUUUAGUCCGGCAGUCAGACUACGAAUGAUAAGAUCCGUGGUCAAAAGGGAAACAGCCCAGAUCGUCAGCUAAGGUCCCAAAGUGUAAGUUAAGUGGAAAAGGAUGUGGGAUUUCUAAGACAACUAGGAUGUUGGCUUAGAAGCAGCCACUCAUUUAAAGAGUGCGUAAUAGCUCACUAGUCGAGAGAUCCUGCGCCGAAAAUGUCCGGGGCUAAAACUUACCACCGAAGCUACGGGCUUGCGUAAGCAAGCGGUAGGGGAGCGUCGUAAUCGGGCUGAAGUCGUACCGUAAGGAGCGGUGGACUGAUUACGAGUGAGAAUGUUGGCAUUAGUAGCGAGAUGUAGGUGAGAAUCCUACAGGCCGAAUAUCUAAGGUUUCCUCAGGAAGGCUCGUCCGCUGAGGGUUAGUCGGGACCUAAGCCGAGGCCGAAAGGCGUAGGCGAUGGACAACAGGUUGAUAUUCCUGUACCACUACCAUCGUUAUUAUCGAGGGUGUGACGGAGAAGGAUAGUGUGUGCUAGCGAUUGGAAAUGCUAGUCUAAGCGUUUAGGCAGUUACGGUAGGCAAAUCCGCUGUAACGUUAAUGCUGAGGCGUGAUGGGGAAGGCCCUUGAGGCUGAAGUACAUGAUUCCAUGCUUCCAAGAAAAGCAUCUAGAGAGAGAAGUAGUGCCCGUACCGCAAACCGACACAGGUAGAUGAGGAGAGAAUCCUAAGGCCGGCGGAAGAAUUGCAGUUAAGGAACUAGGCAAAUUGACCCCGUAAGUUAGCGAGAAGGGGUGCCUGCGAGAGCAGGCCGCAGAGAAUAGGCCCAAGCAACUGUUUAGCAAAAACACAGGUCUCUGCUAAAGCGCAAGCUGAUGUAUAGGGGCUGACGCCUGCCCGGUGCUGGAAGGUUAAGGGGAACACUUAGCGCAAGCGAAGGUGUGAACUUAAGCCCCAGUAAACGGCGGCCGUAACUAUAACGGUCCUAAGGUAGCGAAAUUCCUUGUCAGGUAAGUUCUGACCCGCACGAAUGGCGUAAUGACUUGGGCACUGUCUCAACUGCAAAUCCGGCGAAGUUGUAGUGCGAGUGAAGAUGCUCGCUACCCGCGAUUGGACGGAAAGACCCCGUAGAGCUUUACUGUAGCUUAGCAUUGAAUUCCGGUAUUGU
rnacentral:rRNA from 1 species